GCUGGGCAUGAUGGAGCAUGCUUGUAAUCCCAGCAGCUUGGGAGGCUGAGGCAAGAGGAUUGCAAGUUCAAAGCCAGCCUCAGCAAUGGCGAGUGCUAAGCAACUCAGCAAGAACCUGUCUCUA
rnacentral:sRNA from 1 species